AGUCCCGUGGUGUAGUGGCCAAUCAUAAGGGCCUUUGGAGCCCUUGACGGCGGUUCGAAUCCGCCCGGGACUAC
rnacentral:tRNA from 1 species